rnacentral:lncRNA from 1 species
CCCAACACUUGUUAAACUGCUGAUUCCUGCUUCCCCACCUCUGCUGACUCAGCAUCUCUGGGGUGGGGCCUGCAAAGGCUCUCUUCCUUGACGGGGUUAUUGAGGGCAGCUCUAGGAACCCACCCAGGACCAGACCUGAUGAGGAGUUCCUCCUAUGCAUCAGUCUACUUCUGUCCCUCUUUCCCCUGCGAAGGAAAAAUAGAAGAAAGAAGCCAUCUCUGUUUGCUUUCUCCCUGUCACUCAAUCUCUGGAGCCAACUGCUUCACAAAUAAAGAGAAGUGCACAGAGAGUCCCUGAAGCCCACCAUCAACAGACAGGCUUUCAACAAAACUGUAUCAGCACCGCCUUGGCCAUAGCUACACUCUACAGAAAAUGGGAGAGAGGAACAGCGCUAGAGAAGUUUGUCCUUGCCUGGUUCCCGGGUGGAACUUCCUCUCCCCCUUGUGUUCUAUGCGUGUGGUUACAGCUGCCUCUGAUCUUUGGUGACCAGCGGUUGGCAGUGGUGGUAUUUCAGCAUACCUUGAUCAUCGUGCUUAUUACACAGCCUCCUUUACCAUCAACCCUACCUACCUUCUUCUAGCCAUGCCCCCCACCUCCUCCCGUCUCUAUCCAUCUCUUCGCUCUUUUAAAAAAUACUUAAGUGUGUACAGAUCACAGUGACUUCAUUUGUGUGCCCAUUCACAUUUGAUGACUUCCAUAACCCCCAUACAAGUAGUUGUGUAUUCGUUUUAAUUCACUUUAUUUAUUUCCUAGCUCUUUCAUAAAAUAAAAUGAAAUAUAAGUAAUGAAAUGGGAAUAAAAAA